CCUUACAGCUGGUUGUAAAAGAGCCUGGUAGGAAAUGAGGAUUUCCCUCUUUACAAAUGUAUCAAUUGAGGUCCAGUGGUUUUCCUAAGGUCCUGGAUGAAAACCCUGCCAUGAUAAUCAUCUAUAUUUGAAUGGCAUCCACACACUUGUCCUUGGCCUCCUUGACUUUUUCUCACCUGGUCCACCCCUGAUUCACCACACCUCUUUGUCCAGCCUCCCUGGAGAAGCAGCCCUUCUACUCUGCCUGCACCAGCACCAGCUGAUUUUUAGCCUUGCUGUUUUAUUCUCCUAAUCUUUAGCUGGCUGUCUCUCCCUCACCUUCGAGAUCUCAACUCAAAUAUUGUUUUCUCAAAGGGACUUCCCUAUAACCCUACCCAAAGUAGUUGCCUCUCAUCACCCUGUAUCACAUGGCAUUUUUUAUUUCCUUUACAGCUCUCGCAAACAUCUGAUCAUUUCUUGUUCCUGCUGUCAUUGGUGAUACUGAUUGUGGUGUUAUUGGGACUCUACCAGAGAAACAGAAUGAUCGGAUAUAUGUACCGACCAUCAAGGACACUUCCCAAAUCCCCACCUCCACCCGUGACAUCUAGAUGGGAGCAUGUGGCAGAUUGCAGCCAAUGGAAUAUAGGCAGAAGUGACAUACACAUCACCUCCAGAUCUGGCCAGAGAACCCUCUGUAGAUGCUCCCAACCCCUUUUCUUCCCCACAGCUGUGGGAUGAGAAGCCAAGUUCGCCAAGGCCAUAGAUGAUGGCCUGGGACAGUCGUGGGGUGGAAAAAGCCCGAGUCCUCAAGUCACCCUCUAGAAGACCAUCAUUCUGGAGAGCGGUCCUGCCAGAAACAGCCCCACUGGACUUGGACAAGGUGGAAAGGAAUCAGAAGUGACUGUCUUUACUUGAAAACGAGGUAAGGAUAGUUCCUAUGUGUAGAGAUACGGAUUAGACUUUCUCCAGGGAGUCAGGCUUAUCGCCGGGAAGGAGAAAAUGAGCUCAAGCAGGGCUUGAUUAAAAGAAGUGGAGAUGUUGUUUGGAGCAUCGACUCCGUGUCCAACCAAAGUGCUGUGGACUUGUGAGGAAGCCACUUCUCAUCCAUGGCUGCACUGGCCUGCCUCCCUUGCAUCUAGAUGGGAUCAUGAAAUAUCACCGACAGGACUGGACUGGAAGUCCUGUGACUCUUUUAGACCAAUGAACUUGGGAAGCAAGUGCCUGCACCAGCCCCCUUUUCCCUUCCACUGGCUUCCUGCAGAAGAGCACGUCACCGAGAAAUCACAGAAGGGAUGACAGAGCCACAAUGUGGAAGGAGCCUGGGUCCUGGAGUCUCUACUUGGAGACGAGCUAACACCAAUUAGAAGGAUCCAUGUUGGACAUUAGGUGAGUGAGAAAUCAACUUCUAUUUUGUUUAAGUUGAUAUACUGGGGAAUUUUUUUAGGGUAGCUAGUAUUAGCUGAUAGUGUGACACUCAGCCCUAGAAUUGGGACUAGUACUUUUUCUUCACAUUCAUGAAUAUGUAGCAAGUAUGUUGCUCCCAUCCCUGCCAUGCCCAAUGGAAAUAUUGUUGCUUGAUGAUAGUGUUUUUGUCAGUCUUUAUGUGGUUUCAGAAACCCUCUUAACAAGGCUGUUUUUACCAAAUGAUUGAAUUUGGGAUUCAGAAUAUCUCUUUGCUAUACUAGCAUGAUUGUAAGUUUCUUGAGCUGAAGGUUUAACAUCUAUCACUUAUCAUAUUGCAGUUCAACGUUGUUGAAGGAAGGAAGGAAGGAGAGAUGUUUUAGAAAGAUCUAUUUCUCUAUACGUAUAACCAUCUUUAGGCCACAGAGCUACCCCAGAAGCUUGGGGAACGGGGCAUUGAGACAAUUAUCAGGAUAAUUCAACUCAGGGUAUUUGGAAUUCUUUUGUGGCACAGCAGAACGAAUCCAACUAGGAACCAUGA